rnacentral:rRNA from 1 species
UACGUAGGCGGAAAAUUAAGUCAGUAGUGAAAUCCUGCAGCUUAACUGUGGAACUGUUAUUGAUACUGGUUUUCUUGAAUAUAGUUGAGGUAGGCGGAAUGUGUAAUGUAGCGGUGAAAUGCUUAGAUAUUACACAGAACACCGAUUGCGAAGGCAGCUUACUAAGCUAUGAUUGACGCUGAGGUACGAAAGCGUGGGGAGCGAACAGGAUUAGAUACCCUGGUAGUCC